UAAUUUCUCUGGGCCUGUUGUAAGGCCUCGAUUUAUUGCAUCACUUAGCGGCCCUAAUAGACAAAUAAGCCACAAAGAAGUCAAUCUAACCAGCGAGUAUCAGCAGGGGCAGUCUGUGCGGAGCCAAGUGGUUCUAUAUGAGUGUGAUCAUGAAAGCCUUAAAAGACAUGCAACCAUUAAGAGCUUUGGGGAAUCCAGAUGGCAUAAUGUGAAAAAGCAAAGAGUGGAAAUUGUCAUACUGUUAAAAACUCCUGGCAGUGCAAGAUAUGAAUUUAAGCAAAACGCCUCCAGCUAAAAGACAGAAUAAAUCCUUCAACAGUUGGACGUUUGAGCAACGGUGAAACGUCUGUCAGUGUACAUACGUCGUCUACAAAUAAGGCCUCUUGAGCUAAACAUACACGGCCGGCUCACCUAACCGAGGAUGGAAGAAGAAGAAGAGCG